GGUCAAACCUUCCUGAAUAUGCCCAAUCUCGUCUGAGCUCAGAAGAUAAGCAGGGUCAGGACUAGUCAGCACUUGGAUGGGAGUCAAGGUCUCUUAAUCAA
rnacentral:rRNA from 1 species